rnacentral:rRNA from 1 species
GAGUUUGAUCAUGGCUCAGAUUGAACGCUGGCGGCAGGCCUAACACAUGCAAGUCGAGCGGAAACGAGUUAUCUGAACCUUCGGGGGACGAUAACGGCGUCGAGCGGCGGACGGGUGAGUAAUGCCUAGGAAAUUGCCCUGAUGUGGGGGAUAACCAUUGGAAACGAUGGCUAAUACCGCAUAAUGCCUACGGGCCAAAGAGGGGGACCUUCGGGCCUCUCGCGUCAGGAUAUGCCUAGGUGGGAUUAGCUAGUUGGUGAGGUAAUGGCUCACCAAGGCGACGAUCCCUAGCUGGUCUGAGAGGAUGAUCAGCCACACUGGAACUGAGACACGGUCCAGACCCCUACGGGAGGCAGCAGUGGGGAAUAUUGCACAAUGGGCGCAAGCCUGAUGCAGCCAUGCCGCGUGUGUGAAGAAGGCCUUCGGGUUGUAAAGCACUUUCAGUCGUGAGGAAGGUAGUGUAGUUAAUAGCUGCAUUAUUUGACGUUAGCGACAGAAGAAGCACCGGCUAACUCCGUGCCAGCAGCCGCGGUAAUACGGAGGGUGCGAGCGUUAAUCGGAAUUACUGGGCGUAAAGCGCAUGCAGGUGGUUUGUUAAGUCAGAUGUGAAAGCCCGGGGCUCAACCUCGGAAUUGCAUUUGAAACUGGCAGACUAGAGUACUGUAGAGGGGGGUAGAAUUUCAGGUGUAGCGGUGAAAUGCGUAGAGAUCUGAAGGAAUACCGGUGGCGAAGGCGGCCCCCUGGACAGAUACUGACACUCAGAUGCGAAAGCGUGGGGAGCAAACAGGAUUAGAUACCCUGGUAGUCCACGCCGUAAACGAUGUCUACUUGGAAGUUGUGGCCUUGAGCCGUGGCUUUCGGAGCUNACGCGUUAAGUANACCGCCUGGGGAGUACGGUCGCNAGAUUAAACUCAAUGAAUUGACGGGGGCCCNCACAAGCGGUGGANCAUGUGGNUUAAUU